GACGAACGCUGGCGGCGUGCUUAACACAUGCAAGUCGAACGGAAAGGCCCUGCUUGCAGGGUAGGCGAGUGGCGAACGGGUGAGGAACACGUGGGAGAUGUGCACUGCACUUCCGGCUACUGCUUGGAAACUUGGACUAAUACCGGAUAGGAGCCAUUUUGGGUGUGUUGGUUGGUAGGUUUGUUCGGUGUAGGAUGAGCUCGGGGGCUAGCAGCUUGGUGGUUGGGUAAUGGCCUGCCAAGGCGGCGACGGGUAGCCGGCCUGAGAGGGUGGACGGCCACAUUGGGACUGCGUAACGGCCCAGACUCCUACGGGAGGCAGCAGUGGGGAAUAUUGCACAAUGGGCGCAAGCCUGAUGCAGCGACGCCGCGUGGGGGAUGAAGGCCUUCGGGUUGUAAACUCCUUUCGCUAGGGACGAAGCUUUUUGUGACGGUACCUAGAUAAGAAGCACCGGCUAACUACGUG
rnacentral:rRNA from 1 species